rnacentral:rRNA from 1 species
UACGAGGACGAACGCUGGCGGCGUGCCUAACACAUGCAAGUCGAGCGGAGACAUACGACCGCGAUGAAGUUUCGGAUGGAUUCAAGGAUGUAUGUUUAGCGGCGGACGGGUGAGUAACGCGUGAGCAACCUGUCCUUCACAGGGGGAUAACACAGCGAAAGUUGUACUAAUACCGCAUAAGACCACAGCGGGACAUCCCGCAGGGGUCAAAGGAGCAAUCCGGUGAAGGGUGGGCUCGCGUCCGAUUAGAUAGUUGGUGAGGUAACGGCCCACCAAGUCGACGAUCGGUAGCCGACCUGAGAGGGUGAUCGGCCACAUUGGGACUGAGACACGGCCCAAACUCCUACGGGAGGCAGCAGUGGGGAAUAUUGGGCCAAUGGGGGGAACCCUGACCCAGCAACGCCGCGUGAGGGAAGAAGGUUUUCGGAUCGUAAACCUCUGUCCUUGGUGAAGAGGAAGAGACGGUAGCCAAGGAGGAAGCCCCGGCUAACUACGUGCCAGCCGCCGC